GACGAACGCUGGCGGCGUGCCUAAUACAUGCAAGUAGAACGCUGAAGAGAGGAGCUUGCUCUUCUUGGAUGAGUUGCGAACGGGUGAGUAACGCGUAGGUAACCUGCCUUGUAGCGGGGGAUAACUAUUGGAAACGAUAGCUAAUACCGCAUAACAAUGGAUGACACAUGUCAUUUAUUUGAAAGGGGCAAUUGCUCCACUACAAGAUGGACCUGCGUUGUAUUAGCUAGUAGGCGAGGUAACGGCUCACCUAGGCGACGAUACAUAGCCGACCUGAGAGGGUGAUCGGCCACACUGGGACUGAGACACGGCCCAGACUCCUACGGGAGGCAGCAGUAGGGAAUCUUCGGCAAUGGGGGCAACCCUGACCGAGCAACGCCGCGUGAGUGAAGAAGGUUUUCGGAUCGUAAAGCUCUGUUGUAAGUCAAGAACGAGUGUGAGAGUGGAAAGUUCACACUGUGACGGUAGCUUACCAGAAAGGGACGGCUAACUACGUGCCAGCAGCCGCGGUAAUACGUAGGUCCCGAGCGUUGUCCGGAUUUAUUGGGCGUAAAGCGAGCGCAGGCGGUUUGAUAAGUCUGAAGUUAAAGGCUGUGGCUCAACCAUAGUUCGCUUUGGAAACUGUCAAACUUGAGUGCAGAAGGGGAGAGUGGAAUUCCAUGUGUAGCGGUGAAAUGCGUAGAUAUAUGGAGGAACACCGGUGGCGAAAGCGGCUCUCUGGUCUGUAACUGACGCUGAGGCUCGAAAGCGUGGGGAGCGAACAGGAUUAGAUACCCUGGUAGUCCACGCCGUAAACGAUGAGUGCUAGGUGUUGGAUCCUUUCCGGGAUUCAGUGCCGCAGCUAACGCAUUAAGCACUCCGCCUGGGGAGUACGACCGCAAGGUUGAAACUCAAAGGAAUUGACGGGGGCCCGCACAAGCGGUGGAGCAUGUGGUUUAAUUCGAAGCAACGCGAAGAACCUUACCAGGUCUUGACAUCCCGAUGCUAUUUCUAGAGAUAGAAAGUUACUUCGGUACAUCGGUGACAGGUGGUGCAUGGUUGUCGUCAGCUCGUGUCGUGAGAUGUUGGGUUAAGUCCCGCAACGAGCGCAACCCCUAUUGUUAGUUGCCAUCAUUCAGUUGGGCACUCUAGCGAGACUGCCGGUAAUAAACCGGAGGAAGGUGGGGAUGACGUCAAAUCAUCAUGCCCCUUAUGACCUGGGCUACACACGUGCUACAAUGGUUGGUACAACGAGUUGCGAGUCGGUGACGGCAAGCUAAUCUCUUAAAGCCAAUCUCAGUUCGGAUUGUAGGCUGCGACUCGCCUACAUGAAGUCGGAAUCGCUAGUAAUCGCGGAUCAGCACGCCGCGGUGAAUACGUUCCCGGGCCU
rnacentral:rRNA from 1 species